CUUGGUCAUUUAGAGGAAGUAAAAGUCGUAACAAGGUUUCCGUAGGUGAACCUGCGGAAGGAUCAUUAUCGUACAACAAGAGGCGUCCGGGGCUGUCGCUGACUUCUAAAGUCGUGCACGCCUCGGUCGUUCUCAAUCUACACAUCCUUCUCACCCCUUGUGCAUCACCGCGUGGGUUCACUUCUUUUUUAUACAUAAGAGGUGACCUGCGUUUUCUUUACACACACAAACCUUGUCGCUGUGAAUGUCUUUACUUUUUGUAACAAUCAGUACAACUUUCAACAACGGAUCUCUUGGCUCUCGCAUCGAUGAAGAACGCAGCGAAAUGCGAUACGUAAUGUGAAUUGCAGAAUUCAGUGAAUCAUCGAAUCUUUGAACGCACCUUGCACCCCUUGGCAUUCCGAGGGGUACACCCGUUUGAGUGUCGUGAAAUUCUCAACCUCCCCAAUCUCUUGGGGAAGGCUUGGACUUUGGAGGCUUUUGCUGGUCUCUCUUAUUUUGAAGCCAGCUCCUCUUAAACGAAUUAGUGGGGUCCCUCUUUGCCGGUCCCUUAGACGUUAUAGGAUUUCUUUACGUCCGAGGUUUGGCUCUGUAGCCCCGCUUCUAAUAAGGGGUCUCUUCCUUGAGACGCCACCUUUUUUUUUUUGAACCCUUUGACCUCAAAUCGGGUGAGACUACCCGCUGAACUUAAGCAUAUCAAUAAGCGGAGGA
rnacentral:rRNA from 1 species